rnacentral:rRNA from 1 species
CACGUAGGGUGCGAGCGUUGUCCGGAAUUAUUGGGCGUAAAGAGCUCGUAGGCGGUGUGUCGCGUCGGCCGUGAAAACCUGCAGCUUAACUGUGGGCUUGCGGUCGAUACGGGCAUCACUGGAGUUCGGCAGGGGAGACUGGAAUUCCUGGUGUAGCGGUGAAAUGCGCAGAUAUCAGGAGGGAACACCGGUGGCCGAAGGCGGGUCUCUGGGCCGAUACUGACGC